rnacentral:tRNA from 2 species
GCGCUCGUAGCUCAGGGGAUAGAGCAGCCGCCUUCUAAGCGGCUGGCCGCUGGUUCGAAUCCAGCCGGGCGCGCCA